rnacentral:tRNA from 1 species
UCCCUGGUAGCUCAGAUGGUAAAGAAUCUGCCUGCAAAGCAGGAGACCCGAGUUCGAUCCCUGGAUUGGGAC